UCCCUAGUACGGCGAGCGAAGCGGGAAUAGCUCAAAUUUGAAAUCUCCGGUGCCUGCACCGGCGAAUUGUAGUCUGUAGGGCCAGUUUCGCCCGACGCGGUGUCCCCAAAGUCGUCCUGGAAAGGCGGGCCGGAGAGGGUGAGAGCCCCGUGUGCGGGGGCACCGUGGAAGGUAAGAUCUGUGCCCGAAGAGUCGGGUUGUUUGGGAUUGCAGCCCAAAAUGGGUGGUAAACUCCAUCUAAAGCUAAAUACUGGCACGAGACCGAUAGCGAACAAGUACCGUGAGGGAAAGAUGAAAAGCACUUUGAAAAGAGAGUCAAACAGUACGUGAAACCGUCGGUAGGGAAACGAACGAGGUUGGUGCAGUGAUUGCGUAGGCUCAGGCUGUGCCGAAGGUGCCGUCAGGGUGACCCAUGCGUCCCCGGGCGUCCGCCGGAGGCAGAGCCGUACUCCUCGCGAGCACGGACCAGCAGCGGUUGGAGGGGAGCCAGAAGGCCAUCGGGACGGUGUGUCAGGUCGGGCUUGCCCGCCCGACAACUUAUAGCCCGGCGUGCCGGCGCUCAGCUCGGACCGAGGAAGGAGGGCAGCUCUUGCCCGUUUGUGGUGCACGCCGUAUGGCGGGGCCUCCCGUCGAGGGCGAGCCGUGCGGGGUUGACUGCGUGCAGUGCUCACCGUCACGGCGGACCCACGGUGGAGAGCGUCACUUGUGCACCAGUGCUGCUGGUAUUGGGACGGCCUCGUCCGACCCGUCUUGAAACACGGACCAAGGAGUGCAACAUGUGCGCGAGCCCUUUUGGCGGCAAACCAGAAGGCGCAAUGAAAGUGAAGGCACGGUCGCCGUGCUGAGGUGAGAGCCGGCCCCGGCGGGACGGCGCAUCAUCGACCGAUCCCAUCCGUGUUGUCCGCAGCAUGGCGGGAUUCGAGUGAGAGUGUACCUGUUGCGACCCGAAAGAUGGUGAACUAUGCCUGAAUAGGGUGAAGCCAGAGGAAACUCUGGUGGAGGCCCGUAGCGAUUCUGACGUGCAAAUCGAUCGUCAAAUUUGGGUAUAGGGCGAAAGACUA
rnacentral:rRNA from 1 species